GAUGAACGCUGGCGGCGUGCCUAAUACAUGCAAGUCGAGCGAACGGACGAGAAGCUUGCUUCUCUGAUGUUAGCGGCGGACGGGUGAGUAACACGUGGAUAACCUACCUAUAAGACUGGGAUAACUUCGGGAAACCGUAGCUAAUACCGGAUAAUAUUUUGAACCGCAUGGUUCAAAAGUGAAAGACGGUCUUGCUGUCACUUAUAGAUGGAUCCGCGCUGCAUUAGCUAGUUGGUAAGGUAACGGCUUACCAAGGCAACGAUGCAUAGCCGACCUGAGAGGGUGAUCAGCCACACUGGAACUGAGACACGGUCCAGACUCCUACGGGAGGCAGCAGUAGGGAAUCUUCCGCAAUGGGCGAAAGCCUGACGGAGCAACGCCGCGUGAGUGAUGAAGGUCUUCGGAUCGUAAAACUCUGUUAUUAGGGAAGAACAUAUGUGUAAGUAACUGUGCACAUCUUGACGGUACCUAAUCAGGAAGCCACGGCUAACUACGUG
rnacentral:rRNA from 1 species